rnacentral:rRNA from 1 species
GAUGAACGCUGGCGGCGUGCCUAAUACAUGCAAGUCGAGCGAACAGACGAGGAGCUUGCUCCUCUGAUGUUAGCGGCGGACGGGUGAGUAACACGUGGAUAACCUACCUAUAAGACUGGGAUAACUUCGGGAAACCGGAGCUAAUACCGGAUAACAUGUUGAACCGCAUGGUUCAACAGUGAAAGACGGUCUUGCUGUCACUUAUAGAUGGAUCCGCGCCGCAUUAGCUAGUUGGUAAGGUAACGGCUUACCAAGGCAACGAUGCGUAGCCGACCUGAGAGAGUGAUCGGCCACACUGGAACUGAGACACGGUCCAGACUCCGACGGGAGGCAGCAGUAGGGAAUCUUCCGCAAUGGAGGAGAGCCUGACGGAGCAACGCCGCGUGAGUGAAGAAGGUCUUCGGAUCGUAAAACUCUGUUAUUAGGGAAGAACAAAUGUGUAAGUAACUAUGCACGUCUUGACGGUACCUAAUGAGAAAGCCACGGCUAACUACGUG